rnacentral:rRNA from 1 species
GACGAACGCUGGCGGCGUGCUUAACACAUGCAAGUCGAACGGUAACAGAAGAGCUUGCUCUUCUGGCUCAGUGGCGAACGGGUGAGUAACACGUGUGUAACCUGCCCUAGACUUUGGUAUAAGCGCUCGAAACGGCGUCUAAUCCCGGAUACGAGACAGCGCUGCAUUGCUACCAUCUGGACAUUUUUUCGGUCUGGGAUGGACUCGCGGCCUAUCAGCUUGUUGGUGGGGUAGCGGCUCACCCAGCCAACGACGGGUAGCCGACCUGAGAGGGGGACCGGCGACACUGGGACUGAGGCAGGGCCCAGACUCCUACAGGAGACAGCAGUGGGGAGUAUUACACAAUGGGCGCGAGCCGGAUGCAGCGACGCCGCGUGAGGGAUGACGGCCUUCGGGUUGUGAACCGCUUUCGGCAAGGAAGAAGCGAUAGUGACGGUACCUGCAGAAGAAGCACCGGCUAACUACGUG